UCCAGAACUGCAAAGAGGACAAGACCAGGGCCCGAACACCCCAUUCAAAAGUGUGAGAGAGAGAAGCACCCCGCUGAGGCACAAAGUCCCAAAAUGGAGUCUAAGGCUAAAGAGAUGAACCUAUUCACCACCUUGAGAUCAAGCAUCUGUGCCCUCACCCACAAAUUCUGUUUGUCCCAGGGGCCGGUGGCUGGAUCCAUACCGACCAAUUCCAAGCCUUCAUGGCCAGUGUUAAAGGCAUAUCAUCAUAGUGAAGGAGUAUUCACCUCCUGAGAAGGAAGCAGAAGAAGGCACCACUUCCUGCUGACAUGGUGGGCUGGGUGCUGUCUACUCUGGUGCAAGAGAUGAAGAGCAUCAAG